rnacentral:rRNA from 1 species
GACGAACGCUGGCGGCGUGCCUAAUACAUGCAAGUAGAACGCUGAAGGAGGAGCUUGCUUCUCUGGAUGAGUUGCGAACGGGUGAGUAACGCGUAGGUAACCUGCCUGGUAGCGGGGGAUAACUAUUGGAAACGAUAGCUAAUACCGCAUAAUAGUAGAUGUUGCAUGACAUUUGCUUAAAAGAUGCAAUUGCAUCACUACCAGAUGGACCUGCGUUGUAUUAGCUAGUUGGUGGGGUAACGGCUCACCAAGGCGACGAUACAUAGCCGACCUGAGAGGGUGAUCGGCCACACUGGGACUGAGACACGGCCCAGACUCCUACGGGAGGCAGCAGUAGGGAAUCUUCGGCAAUAGACGGAAGUCUGACCGAGCAACGCCGCGUGAGUGAAGAAGGUUUUCGGAUCGUAAAGCUCUGUUGUAAGAGAAGAACGAGUGUGAGAGUGGAAAGUUCACACUGUGACAGUAUCUUACCAGAAAGGGACGGCUAACUACGUG